AGAUGUGCUACUGAUCUGGCACCUCUGACCCCACUGUUCACCUUUAACAUCUGAACUUACAGAAACUGAACGAGCCAAAGAAGAGGCUGCUGAUGUGUCCACCAAGAAAGCUGCACCUGGAAAGAAGGAACAGAAAGCAGUCAAGACAGUGGAGCAAGAUACUGACCAGCACGGAGUCUGCAACAGAGACUAACAUGCUUGCUGUCAAGCUCCCUGUACACAAGAAAAACACAGGAUAGCCAGCUAUUGAGUGCAUCUAGCUUGUAUUUUAACACACAAAUGUGCUUUUCCUUCAAAACACUGUGCCUCCAGGGA
rnacentral:lncRNA from 1 species